UCGGGCGGGCGGGCGUUCGGGCGGGAAGGGAGCGCGGCGCGGAGCCUCGGGGAGCGGAGCCGGAGGAGGCCGGGCGAGGAAGGCGACCUCAGACCGCGACGCCGGCCCAGGGCUGGGCCCGCCUUGUGCUCUCGGAGGCUGUGCUGCCUCACAGGAGGGACGCGCGGCGCGUUUCAGUGUAAACCGAAUCACACCGACCGUUUGCAGUCCCCAUUUGCAAACCAGUAGAAGGUGUCUGCCCUGGUGAGAGGAAGAAGGAGGUGAAGAAAAAAGAACACAUGUGUUCAGAUGGAAAGUAGCCUCCAAGAUCACACACUACACAGAGAUGCAGUCACAGGUGGGAGC
rnacentral:lncRNA from 12 species